ACAACAGAACAAAAAUACAAAUGGCUGCUGCCGCCAUGACACUAUCUCGUCUUCAACUUCUUCACUCUCCAUCUCCAAUUAUCACCAGACCUUCAAAUUUGCUCUCCAAACUCUCUCCUCCUCGAAGUUUUUUGUCACGCGCUUCCACGCGCUCUUCUCCUCGUUCCUUCCACAAUUUCUCCACAGCUCACUGUUCCCGCUCUGACUCAAUCAGGACAGUGUCUCACACUUCUUCGACGAGCGGCUCCAUAGUCGGUGAUCUUCUCGACUAUUUAAACGAGUCUUGGACGCCGUUUCACGCUACUGCUGAAGCGAAACGGUUACUGAUUGAUGCUGGUUUUGAUUUGCUAAAUGAGAAUGAGGAGUGGGAGCUCAAGGCUGGUGGACGAUAUUUUUUUACUAGGAAUAUGUCUUCUUUGGUUGCUUUUGCAGUGGGAGAAAAGUACACUGUUGGAAAUGGUUUUUAUGUUAUUGCUGCACACACUGACAGCCCUUGUCUUAAACUUAAACCCAAGUCUGCGUCAUCCAAGGCUGGUUAUUUGAUGGUGAAUGUGCAGACCUAUGGAGGUGGUUUGUGGCAUACUUGGUUUGAUAGAGACUUAAGUGUUGCAGGAAGGGUUAUAAUCAGAGGUAGUGAUGGUUCUUUUCUGCACAAGCUUGUCAAAGUGGAAAGACCUCUACUACGAGUUCCUACAUUGGCCAUUCAUCUUGAUCGCACUGUGAACAAGGAUGGGUUCAAGCCAAAUCUGGAAACUCACCUCAUUCCACUACUUGCAACCAAAUCAGAGGAAGCAUCACAACAGCCAAAAGAGAAAAGUAGUUCGUCAUCUUCUAAGGCUGCUCAUCAUCCCCUACUUAUGCAGAUUUUGUCAGAAGAGCUGAGUUGUGAAAUUGAUGACAUAGUGAGCAUUGAGCUAAACAUUUGUGAUACCCAACCUAGCUGCCUUGGAGGUGCAAACAAUGAGUUUAUAUUUUCUGGAAGAUUAGAUAAUCUUGCUUCAAGUUAUUGUGCUUUGAGAGCUCUUAUUGAUUCAUGUGGAUCACCUAGUGACAUAUCAAGUGAACACGCUAUUCGUAUGGUUGCUUUAUUUGACAAUGAGGAGGUGGGCUCAGAUUCAUAUCAAGGAGCUGGUGCACCAACCAUGUUUCAGGCUAUAAGACGCAUUGUUGGUUCCUUAGCACAUGAGUACGCUGGUGAGAGUGCUUUUGAGCGUGCAAUUCGCCAGUCAUUUCUUGUAUCUGCAGACAUGGCCCAUGGAGUUCACCCAAAUUUUUCUGAGAAACAUGAAGAAAACCAUCGCCCAGAAAUGCAUAAGGGUCUAGUGAUCAAGCACAACGCAAAUCAGCGCUAUGCUACCAGUGGAGUGACAGCUUUUCUAUUUAAAGAGAUUGCAAAAAUUCAUAACCUUCCAACUCAGGAAUUUGUGGUAAGAAAUGAUAUGGGAUGUGGAUCCACCAUAGGGCCCAUUCUCGCUUCAGGGGUUGGCAUUCGAACUGUUGAUUGUGGCAUACCUCAGCUUUCCAUGCACAGCGUGAGAGAGGUAUGCGGGAAGGAAGAUGUAGACAUUGCUUACAAACAUUUCAAGGCAUUUUACGAAACUUUCUCCAGCAUAGACAAGAAGCUAAGCGUGGAUUAUUAGAGGAAGAUGGAGACCGAUGUAGCCAAACAAUCAUAUCUAUAUGAUCAAGGUUUGUUGGUGUUAACAGAAUUCUCAGAUGAAGUCGAGGCAUGAUUCCGUUCACCAUUACCAUUGGAUUUUGGGUACCCUUUCGACAUUUUCUGCUUCAGCUCGGACAACAGAGCCUGGUUCUCCUGGUUGAGCUGUUUCAAACUUUCAAUUCGUCUCUACAAGAUUGGUUUGAAUUAAGAGACCACACUGACCUGACUGCUGCCGUGCUGGUGCUGCCGUGAGAGGAGACUGGUGCUGCCGUGCUGGUGCUGCCGUGAGUGAGAUCU